rnacentral:rRNA from 1 species
GACGAACGCUGGCGGCGUGCCUAAUACAUGCAAGUAGAACGCUGAAGGAGGAGCUUGCUUCUCUGGAUGAGUUGCGAACGGGUGAGUAACGCGUAGGUAACCUGCCUGGUAGCGGGGGAUAACUAUUGGAAACGAUAGCUAAUACCGCAUAAUAGUAGAUGUUGCAUGACAUUUGCUUAAAAGGUGCAAUUGCAUCACUACCAGAUGGACCUGCGUUGUAUUAGCUAGUUGGUGGGGUAACGGCUCACCAAGGCGACGAUACAUAGCCGACCUGAGAGGGGGAUCGGCCAAACUGGGACUGAGACACGGCCCAGACUCCUACGGGAGGCAGCAGGAGGGAAUCUUCGGCAAUGGACGGAAGUCUGACCGAGCAACGCCGCGUGAGUGAAGAAGGUUUUCGGAUCGUAAAGCUCUGUUGUAAGAGAAGAACGAGUGUGAGAGUGGAAAGUUCACACUGUGACGGUAUCUUACCAGAAAGGGACGGCUAACUACGUG